CUAACCUCUUUCCCUCCCCCCCCCCACACCCACCCACAAUUUCUCACUCAUUUUAAAAGUCGUGUUGCCAUAAUAGUAUAACUAGUAAGAAUUUUGUUUGAAAUGGUUGUACAUAUUGAAUCUAUAAGAGAACUAUUUGAGUUGCUGUCUCCGGAGUAUCUGAUACUUAUUUAUUAUAAUUCUGUCAAUUGUGGACGUUAUUUUUGGUUGUUACUCUUUGAUAUUGGAAGCACUUUUCUGUACAUAUGGAGUGUAGACAAUAUUAGCACAAUAGAAACAGUAUUUUCAUUAUAUAAAUGUACCGGUAUUUCAGAUUUUUAAACUACCUAAGGCGAGCCUCAUUCAUUGAAGGUUUACAUAUAUAUAUAUAUUUUAGCUUUAUGACUAUCUUUGGCGAGCCCCAUUCAUUGCAAGUCGUCUGCUGAUAGUAGUGAGUGCAUCACUACUGACCUAGUUAAAUGUUAUAGCAGGCUAAUUUUAUUUUGCCCGUAAAACAAGUGCUUAAUUUAUGGAAUGGAGGUACAUUAUAUAAAAAUCAAUGUUAGGACAUUUUUUUUUCCGCAGCAUAGAACAAAUGAGGACAAAAUAUAAAUAGCCAAAUAUUUUGAAGCAAAAAUAUUUUGGUUCAUUUUGAGCCCAUGCAUAACAAAUGAGAUCCUGUUGUGUGACAAUUAUCACUGAGUGUCAGGAAAUACCCUUUGAUGUGUUUCUUUUUGUACUGUUUUUACCAAGUGUCGAGUCUCGAAGUGGGGUCAGAGUGGGGUCAUUAUGAGGUCCACCAAUAUAUUCUUUUCUUUUUAUUCAACUUGUAUAAUCCUUAGAAAAAGAAGUGGCUGUGAAAGAGAAGAGUUGUUUGCCCCUUGUUGGUCUUGUUGGCCGUAUUAUCAGCUUCUUCCAGAUUUGUUUUCUUUCGUUUCAUUUGUUUUAUCUAUUGUGUGUCGUUUUUGUUUUUAAAUUACCAUAAUAUAUAUGUUUUCACAAUGUCAGCUAACAAAUGGUUUUAUUUUGAAGCAAAGAAAUAAAUCAAUUCUAAUUAUAUA